rnacentral:rRNA from 1 species
UCAAGCUAGUAAGAGCUUACGGUGGAUGCCUUGGUGCCAAGAGGCGAUGAAGGACGCAGCAAGCUGCGAUAAGCCACGGGGAGCCGCAAGCAGGCGUUAAUCCGUGGAUCUCCGAAUGGGGAAACCCAGUCACUUUAACCAGUGAUUAUUGUCCGGAUGAAUUCAUAGUCCGGCGAAGCAAAACGGGGUGAAGUGAAACAUCUCAGUAACCCUAGGAAAAUAAAACGAAGCGAUUCCGUCAGUAGUGGCGAGCGAAAGCGGAUCAGUCCAAACCGAAGGGACUUGUCCUUUCGGGGUAGCGGGACCUCAAUGUGGGAAGAUGAAUGGUUAGCGUAACAACUUGGAAAAGUUGGCCACAGACCGUGACAGCCGGGUGCGCAAAAGCCUGAAGUCCCCUAGGGGUAUCCCAAGUAACGCGGUGCACGUGAAACUCUGCGUGAAUCAGUCCGGACCACCGGAUAAGACUAAAUACUCCUUGGCAACCGAUAGUGAACUAGUACCGCGAGGGAAAGGUGAAAAUAACCCCUGUUAGGGGAGUGAAAUAGAUACUGAAACCGUCUGCUUACAAUGUGUCGGAGCGCCGCAAGGCGUGACGGCUUGCCUUUUGCAUAAUGAGUCUGCGAGUUAUUGUCCGUGGCCAGCCUAAGUCCUUUUGGGAUGGAGGCGAAGCGAAAGCGAGUACUAAAUGUGCGACCAGUCACUGGCAAUAGACCCGAAGCGGAGGUGAUCUACUCUUGAGCAGGUUGAAGCUGAGGUAACACUCAGUGAAGGACCGAACUCGUGGAUGUUGAAAAAUCCUGAGAUGACUUGAGAGUAGGAGCGAAAGACUAAUCAAACCCCGUGAUAGCUGGUUCUCUCCGAAAUCGCUUGAGGGCGAGCGUUGGGUAAGUACUCCGAGGAGGUAGAGCACUGGAUGGCUUAGAGUCCCCACCAGGAUAUCAAAACCAAUCAAACUCCGAAUACCUCGGAUCCCUCUAACCCAGCAUUCAGACUGUGGGGGAUAAGCUUCAUAGUCGAGAGGGCAACAGCCCAGACCGCCAGCUAAGGUGCCUAAAUACCAUUAAGUGGAAAGGAUGUGACGUUACUUAGACAGUGAGGAUGUUGGCUUAGAGGCAGCCAUCAUUUAAACAGUGCGUAAUAGCUGACUCAUCGAGUGAUGUCGCGCCGAAAAUGAUUGGCGAUAAAUGGUAUACCGAAGCUGCGGAUUCAACGGCGAUACGUCGUCGUUGAGUGGUAGGAGAGCGUAAUCAUUGCAGCGAAGCCGGACUGUAAGGGAAGGUGGAGCGGUGAUUAGUGAGAAUGCAGACACGAGUAGCGAUAAACCGGGUGAGAAUCCCGGUCGCCGUAAACCUAAGGUUUCCUGGGGUAGGUUCGUCCUCCCAGGGUUAGUCGGGAGCUAAGACGAGGCCGUAAGGCGUAGUCGAUGCACAGCAGAUUAAUAUUCCUGCACCGGCAUGGCUUAAGGUGGGGAUUGACGCAGAGAGAAAAGUGGCGGUGUCAUUGAAAGACAAAGCCUAGGCUUCGGCCAAAGCGAGUCACCAGACAAUCUGUCUAGAAAACGUCUCCAUUGUUCCCCAUGUCGCCCGUACCGUAAACCGACACAGGUGGGUGAGUCGAAUAGACUAAGGCGCGCGAGAGAGACCUCUCUAAGGAACUCGGCAAAUUAGCCCCGUAACUUCGGGAGAAGGGGUGCUCUUCGCAAGAAGAGCCACAGUAAAUUGCGUUUACCGACUGUUUAACAAAAACACAGCUCUCUGCUAAGUCGUUAAGACGACGUAUAGGGUGUGACACGUGACCAAUGCGGAAAGAUCAAGGCGACUUGUUAGCCGCAAGGCGAAGCUCCGAACCUAAGUCCCCGUGAAUGUCGGCCGUAACUAUAACGGUCCUAAGGUAGCGAAAUUCCUUGUCGGGUAAGUUCCGACCUGCACGAAUCGUGUAACGAGUGAACGACUGUCUCGGAGAGGAUCUCGGCGAAACUGUAUCUGCGGUGAAGAUGCCGCAUGCCCGCAGUAGGACGGAAAGACCCUAUGCACCUUUACUGUAAGCUCGUAUUGGGUUCUGAUUGAUAAUGCUUAGCGUAGGUGGGAGACUUUGAAGCGGGGGUUUAGGUUCCCGUGGAGUCGCAAUGUGAAACACCACUCUUUGUCAAUUAGGAUUCUAACCUCGAUUCCUGUUAGCCAGGCGGGGGACAGUGCGUGCGGGUCAGUUUGACUGGGGCGGUUUCCUCCCAAAGAGUAACGGAGGAGCGCGAAGGUACUCUCAGCACGGUUUGUAACCGUGCGUCGAGCGUAUGGGUAUAAGAGUGCUUAACUGUAAGACCUACAAGUCGAGCAGAUGCGAAAGCAGGCCCAAAUGAUCCGAUGGUUGAAUGUGGAAUUGCCAUCGCUCAACGGACAAAAGGUACGCUAGGGAUAACAGGCUGAUCGGGACCAAGAGUUCACAUCGACGUCCCGGUUUGGCACCUCGAUGUCGGCUCAUCGCAUCCUGGGGCUGGAGAAGGUCCCAAGGGUCCGGCUGUUCGCCGGUUAAAGCGGUACGCGAGCUGGGUUCAGAACGUCGUGAGACAGUUCGGUCCUUAUCCACUGUGGGCGCAGGAAACUUGAGGGGUUCAUUCCUUAGUACGAGAGGACCGGGAAUGACGCACUUCUGGUGUGGCAGUUGUUCCGUCAGGGGCAUCGCUGCGUAGCCAUGUGCGGAAGAGAUAAGCGCUGAAAGCAUCUAAGUGCCAAGCUCAUCCCAAGAUAUUGUUUCCCGGACCGUUAGGUCCCUGAAGACCCCAAGUAGACCACUUGGUUGAUAGGUUAGGCGUGCAAGCACCGCGAGGUGUUGAGCGGACUAAUACUAAUAGGUCGUGCGGCUUGAUC